rnacentral:rRNA from 1 species
AACGCUGGCGGCGUGCCUAACACAUGCAAGUCGAACGGAGCUGAGGAGCUUGCUCCUUAGCUUAGUGGCGGACGGGUGAGUAACGCGUGAGUAACCUGCCUCUGAGAGGGGAAUAACGUUCUGAAAAGAACGCUAAUACCGCAUAACGUAUUGAAGCCGCAUGACUUUGAUACCAAAGAUUUUAUCGCUCGGAGAUGGACUCGCGUCCGAUUAGCUUGUUGGUGAGGUAACGGCUCACCAAGGCGACGAUCGGUAGCCGGACUGAGAGGUUGAUCGGCCACAUUGGGACUGAGACACGGCCCAGACUCCUACGGGAGGCAGCAGUGGGGGAUAUUGCGCAAUGGGGGCAACCCUGACGCAGCAACGCCGCGUGAAGGAUGAAGGUUUUCGGAUUGUAAACUUCUUUUAUCAGGGACGAAAUUUGACGGUACCUGAUGAAUAAGCUCCGGCUAACUACGUGCCAGCCGCCGC